GUUCGUCAGUUAUGUCCCUUAUAACUUUAUAUGAUACGCAAGCGGGGGCAUCAGUGUUCGAUGGACACAUCCCCCUUUUAUAUAUCUGUUUCAUUUGGUCGCUUGUGGAGAGUUGUCUCAUUUGACGGGUAUGACAUAUGAAGCAGGAUUUGCUUACCCUUCUGGAGCCCUCCAGUUUUCGGUGGGGUUCGUGUUGCUUCGUCUUUAAUUUUCCAUUUAGUGUCUUGUGUACUAUUAUUUGUCUGUUUGUCUUUUUCUUUUUUAGCUAUGACGUUGUCAGUUUGUUUUCAAACUAUGCGUUUGAAUGUCCCUCUGGUAUCUUUAGCCCUUCUUAUGCAAUACCAUAUUUUCUUUUUUUAUAUAAGUUCAAUUAUCAUUAAUGUAUAAUACGUUAUUUCAUCCGGGAGUUAUGUGGUUUGUUCUAUAUUUUUGGUUUAA
rnacentral:lncRNA from 1 species